rnacentral:piRNA from 1 species
CCUUGGGGUCUGUGGUCUUUUUUG